rnacentral:rRNA from 1 species
CCUACGGGAGGCUGCAGUGAGGAAUAUUGGUCAAUGGGCGGGAGCCUGAACCAGCCAAGUCGCGUGAGGGAAGACGGUCCUAUGGAUUGUAAACCUCUUUAGGCGGGGAGCAAUGCCGGGCACGCGUGCCCGGAGGGAGAGUACCCGCAGAAUAAGCAUCGGCUAACUCCGUACCAGCAGCCGCGGUAAUCCGGAGGAUGCGAGCGGUAUCCGGAUUUAUUGGGUUUAAAGGGUGCGUAGGCGGACUGGAAAGUCAGCGGUAAGAUCGAGCGGCUCAACCUCUUUCCGCCGUGGAAACUGUGGGUCUUGAGUGGGCGAGAAGUAUGCGGAAUGAGUGGUGUAGCGGUGAAAUGCAUAGAUAUCACGCAGAACGCCGAUUGCGAAGGCAGCAUACCGGCGCCCGACUGACGCUGAGGCACGAAAGCGUGGGUAUCGAACAGGAUUAGAUACCCCGGUAGUC